rnacentral:lncRNA from 1 species
CUUCUGGUGUGUCUGAAGACAGCGACAGUGUGCUCACAUACAUAAAUAAAUCUUUUUUAAAAACAACAGAUAUUUUGUACUGGUACUUGGUUGGCUGAGUAGAUAUGGAACUCAAAGACAGGGAGCAUACAGAAACCCUUGAGACAUGAGGCUAGCCCGAUUCUUGAGAGCAUCCCCUCAGUGUACACCUCCUUUCUUAUCCCCUGACUUCUGUAGGCAGGCAAGACUUGGAUCUCCGAAGACUGUACGCAGAGCUGUACCUGCGUGAAAGGGACCUUGAGGUGCCGGGAUUUUCACUGUCCCUCAGGGACUUACUGCAGGAACAGUACCUGUGUCAAAAUCUUUCUGCAGUGCCCGGCCCACAGCCAGUUCACAGACUGCCUUCCCCCCUGUCAUCCUUCCUGCUCUGAUCCCGAAGGCCACUGUGAGGGCAUCAACACCAAAGGCCCCUCUCACUGCAAAGAGGGCUGCGUGUGUCAAUCUGGCUAUGUGCUACAAGACGACAAGUGUGUGCUCAAAAUCGAGUGUGGCUGCCGAGACACGCAGGGUGGCUUCAUUCUUGCAGGCAAGAACUGGACCUCCAGAGGCUGUACCCAGAGCUGUAACUGCAUGGAGGGGGUCGUUCGAUGCCAGCAUUUCCAGUGUCCCUCAGGGACUUACUGCCAGGACAUUGCGGAUGGCACCAGUAACUGCGCCACUCUGCAGUGCCCUGCCCACAGCAGCUUCACCAACUGCCUCCCUUCCUGCCUGCCUUCCUGCUUGGACCCAGAAGGUCACUGUGAGGGCUUCACUACCAAAGGCCCCUUCGCCUGCAAGGAGGGCUGUGUCUGUGAACCUGGCUAUGUGCUGCUUGACGACAAGUGUGUGCCCAGAAUAGAGUGUGGUGGUUGCAAAGACGCCCAGGGUGUCCUCAUCUCUGCAGACAAGACAUGGAUCAACAAAGGCUGCACACAAAUCUGUACCUGUGUGACAGGGACCAUCCACUGCACGAAUUUCCAGUGUCCCUUAGGGACCUACUGCAAGGACAUUGAGGAUGGCAACACUAACUGCACCAAAAUCUCUCUGCAGUGCCCCCCUCACAGCCUCUACACCCACUGCCUUCCCUCCUGCCUGCCUUCCUGCUCGGACCCAGAGGGCCUCUGUGGGGGCACCAUCCAGAAAGUGGCCUCCACCUGCAGGGAGGGCUGUGUCUGUGAACCCGGCUAUGUGCUGAGGAACGACAAGUGUGUGCUCAAAAUUGAAUGUGACUGCGAAGACGCCCACGGUGUCCUCAUCCCCGCAGACACGAUCUGGAUCAAUAGGGGCUGCACCCAGACCUGCACCUGCAUGGGAGGGGCCAUCCAGUGCCAGAAUUUCAAGUGUCCCUUAGACACUUACUGCAAGGACAUCGAGGAUGGCAACAGUAACUGCACCAAUAUCGAGCUCCAUUGCCCGGCUCACAGCCACUACAGCAACUGCCUUCCACACUGUCAGCCUUCCUGCUCGGACCCUGAUGGCCACUGUGAGGGUUCCAGUACCAAAGCCCCCUCCACCUGCAGGGAGGGCUGUGUCUGUGAACCUGACUAUGUGCUGAAUGGCAACAAGUGUGUGCUCAGAAUAGAGUGUGGCUGCAAAGACACCCAGGGUGUCCUCAUCCUCGAAGACACGACCUGGAUCAACAGAGGUUGUACUCGGAGCUGCACCUGCGUGGGAGGGGCCAUCCAGUGCCAGAAACAUCACUGCCCCUCAGGGACUUACUGCAAAGACGCGGAGGGGGACAGCAGUAGCUGCGCUCCAAUCACUCUGCAGUGCCCCGCCCACAGCAGCUUCACCAACUGCCUCCCUUCCUGCCUGCCUUCCUGCUCGGACCCAGAAGGCCACUGUGAGGGCUCCACCACCAAAGGCCCCUUCGCCUGCAAGGAGGGCUGUGUCUGUGAACCUGGCUAUGUGCUGCUUGACGACAAGUGUGUGCCCAGAAUAGAGUGUGGCGGCUGCAAAGACGCCCAGGGUGUCCUCAUCCCCGUAGACAAGAUCUGGAUCAACAGGGGCUGCACCCAGACCUGCACCUGCAUGGGAGGGGCCAUACAGUGCAGGAAAUUUCAGUGUCCCUCAGGGACUUACUGCAAGGGCAUCGAGGAUGGCAACAGUAACUGCACCAAUAUCCCUCUGCAGUGCCCCGCCCACAGCAGCUUCACCAACUGCCUCCCUUCCUGCCUCCCUUCCUGCUCUAACAUGAAUGUCCACUGUGAGGAAUCCAGGCCCAAAGCCCUCUCCACUUGCAAAGAGGGCUGCGUCUGUCAUUCUGGCUACGUGCUGUAUAAUGAGGAGUGUAUACGCAGAAAUCGGUGUGGCUGCAAAGAUGGCCAGGGUGCUGUCGUCCCAGUGAGUGGGCAUUUCCAGUGGGGAUUGGUAAGGGGCUGGAGGGAGCUCAGUGGAUAAAAUGUUUGCCCUUCACCACAGUGUGAGGACCUGAAUGUCAGCCUGGGUGGGGUGUGUUUGUAAUCCCAGGGCUCCUGCUAGGAGAUAAGAGGUAGGGGACAGGAUAAUUCCCUGAAACUUUGUGAACUAGCUAUUUCUAUGUGAGUAACAG